UACGGAGGGUGCGAGCGUUAAUCGGAAUUACUGGGCGUAAAGCGUGCGUAGACGGCUAUCUAAGUCGGGUGUGAAAGCCCCGGGCUCAACCUGGGAAUUGCAUUCGAGACUGAAUAGCUAGGGUACGGUAGAGGGAAGUGGAAUUUCCGGUGUAGCGGUGAAAUGCGUAGAUAUCGGAAGGAACAUCAGUGGCGAAAGCGACUUCCUGGACCAGUACCGACGUUCAGGCACGAAAGCGUGGGGAGCAAACAGG
rnacentral:rRNA from 1 species